rnacentral:tRNA from 1 species
GGAGAAAAAAUUUUCGCUUACAAUGAAAAUAGCCUAAGGGCUCCUUUAUACUGGUAAGUAUAGUAGAA